UCCUGCAGAUACUGCCAAGCCAUGCAUAAAUGCCAUAAUGCACCCUCCCAAUACUCUACUAAAAAGGAGUAUAAUCAAGACUACCACUCACUCGACUCCGACCCAAUCAUAAACUAACAUCAGGGUUGGGAGUGAGGGGUCAAGGGUGUGCAAUGCAACUCAAUAUACUACUGAAAUGGGCUCUACAAAUCUUUGAAAUAGAGGAAAUGAAAUCAAUUUACAAAAGAAGUCAUUUCACAAUUCAGAUCAAUUUGAUUACUCAUCAACCCCUCGUAAUUCCUCUCAAUGUUUCCUCAAAUGCAUGUAUAGAAUAAUCAAGCAUAGAGAAUCAAGAUUUUAGAGGAAUCUACUACAACAAUUAAUCAAUAAGCUCAGGUGGAAUCAAGUCACACUUGGCGACAUUCAUGAAAAUGAAUUAAGGAAGCUCAUGGUGCAAAGUACAUGACUCCCACUCACCUGUCAAUCCGGCACAGCCCUGAUACGCCUCCAAAAAUCUACAGCAGGCAGUGGGGAACUUCUUCCUCUUGUUCCCUAGCUUCUUGCCCAACUGUGACAUGCAUUUAUAAUACAUUUAGUCUUGUAUCAAGGGCUAUAAUCUACGUGCUAAUUA
rnacentral:lncRNA from 1 species